UACGGAGGGAGCUAGCGUUGUUCGGAAUUACUGGGCGUAAAGCGUGCGUAGGCGGUUAUUCAAGUCAGAGGUGAAAGCCCGGGGCUCAACCCCGGAACGGCCUUUGAAACUAGGUAACUAGAAUCUUGGAGAGGUUAGUGGAAUUCCGAGUGUAGAGGUGAAAUUCGUAGAUAUCGAGAGGAACACCGGUGGCGAAGGCGGCCAACUGGACGAGUACUGACGCUGAGACACGAAAGCGUGGGGAGCAAACAGG
rnacentral:rRNA from 1 species